UACAGAGGUCCCAAGCGUUGUUCGGAUUCAUUGGGCGUAAAGGGUGCGUAGGCGGCGCGGUAAGUCGGGUGUGAAAUCUCGGAGCUUAACUCCGAAACUGCAUUCGAUACUGCCGUGCUUGAGGACUGGAGAGGAGACUGGAAUUUACGGUGUAGCGGUGAAAUGCGUAGAUAUCAGGAGGAACACCGGUGGCGAAGGCGGCUCUCUGGACGGAUACUGACGCUGAGGCGCGAAAGCGUGGGGAUCAAACAGG
rnacentral:rRNA from 1 species